rnacentral:rRNA from 1 species
GACGAACGCUGGCGGCGUGCCUAAUACAUGCAAGUCGAACGCAGUGGGGACGGGUGAGUAACAAGUGGGUAACCUCCCAUCAGAGGGGAUAAAACGUGGAAACAGGUGCUAAACCGAUAUUGAUGGCUGGACCCGCGGUGCAUUAGCUAGUGGGUGGGGUAACGGCUCACCAAGGCCACGAUGCAUAGCCGACCUGAGAGGAUGAGCGGCCACACUGGGACUGAGACACGGCCCAGACUCCUACGGGAGGCAGCAGUAGGGAAUCUUCGGCAAUGGACGAAAGUCUGACCGAGCAACGCCGCGUGAGUGAAGAAGGUUUUCGGAUCGUAAAGCACUGUUGUUGGAGAAGCGGUAGCUAACCAGAAAGCAACGGCUAACUACGUGCCAGCAGCCGCGGUAAUAC